rnacentral:lncRNA from 1 species
UUGUUUCAGAUUUUAAACAUUCUUCCAAAAUCAUUCUUCACAAUUGAUUCAAGAAGUAUUCGUUAACUUACAGGAAGUAAUAACAUAGUACAGAAAAGAUUUCUAGCCAAGGUUGGCCAAAACAUCAUUUAAGGUAGUUACAGUUUCAGCAUAGUACUUCUGUGCUUCAUCGCUGUUCUUGGUCUUUGCUGCAUGGUCCAGCUGAGGAAAGAAAAUUAAAAAUGGUUUGUCAGAAGAAAGCGAAAUCAUAAGCAACCCAUCCAAUUACUAUGUCAUUCAUGUUAUUAACCAAGAAUUUAGGCAUUUGACUUACAUCACUAAUGGUCUUAAAGAGCUUUCCAGACAGGUCCUGGAGUUUUCCCUUCUGUUCUUUUGGCUUAGCAGAGAUGACAGUCUUAAGGUCAUAGCGAAGAUAUUCUGCUCUGAGACGAAGGUCAUUCUGGACGUAAGGCCAGGCCUUCUUGUCGAUGAAAUUCUUGACGCUAACAAUCUCCUUAGCUGAAUCCUUAACUCUCUGGACUGCCUCAGCUGGAGUCAAUGGUUGAAGGUAAAACCUAUUCUUCAAUGGCAAACUGAAGUCCCUUGCCUCAUCUGAGUUCAAAGUUCCAGCUGCCCAAACCAAAUCUCAGUAUCAGUACGGAAAUUCCAUGCAUUAGCUUUUCUAGUACUUGCAACCAAUAUUCUUUCUAGUUCAAAUAGUUGGAAUUUUCUGUACAUCUAAUUUUACCAAAAUGAGAAACCAUGAUAGUUCCAACUGCAUAUAUAACUACUCCUGAAUCUUGCAUUCCUGCAAGAGGCUAUUACCACAACAGCUCGAACAACUUUACCUGGCAAGGCUCCCCUCACACAAUAUUACUAUUAAAAUUAGAAGGGACAAUUUACAGAUCCUUAUAAGGAUUGAAAUCAUCUUGUCAAAAUGCAAUCUUUAACUACUUUCUAUGAGCCCCUCUUCUUUUUUUUCUUUUCUCAAGCUUAAUUCUCCUUUUUUAAUUCAGUUAAGGACCUUUCUGUUUGACAUGACCUGAUAACAAUCUAAAUUAAUCUUUUCCUUGAUCCAUCUUUCAAUUGGAAAUGCUGAUAUAAAUAUCAAGUUGCUUGAUCUAAAGGAUCAAAUUACUAAAAAUUGAAAUGCAGCAUUUGAGGGUCACUCCUAGGUUCUCUGUCUUUUAUAUCUGAAUCUUACUAUAUAUCAAUUGUCCGUAAGUAUAUCUGUUAUGAUAUUACUAUUGUAUCGUUCGAGUAAUCAGUGAUGGAUCUAGACUAGACGCGUGUAAUUCAGACUUUAUAAAUCUGUAUGUGUUUGAAAUUGAAAAAAUUGGAACAUCUAUAAAAGAAGAAGUCGAUUCAUCACUAAGAAAGAAAGCAAAACAGACGACUUACGCAAUCCACCAGAGGGAGGAGGUGGGGGGCCAACCUUAAUUGACCUGGCUUCAGCAAAAGCUGAUUUAGCAAAGGAACCAGCUAGGCCAGCAGCAACAAGACCAAUCAUGGCUCUGCGGCUAGUUUCGAUGUCAACAGACCCCUGUUGGGCUCUGACAGUGAGUCCUGGUCUAGACAAGGCAAUUCUGGUGGUGCUGACAGUGCUCAAGCGGGCUGAGCCACUAAGCUGGAGGCUACCAUCCAAGACAGUUUGUGAAGAACCAAUUAGGCCACCCAUAGAAGCCAUAGCAUGAGCCAUUUCUCAGGACCUUUUUG